rnacentral:piRNA from 1 species
UGAGAGUGUUAGGACCUGCUCUAGGGUGU